rnacentral:rRNA from 1 species
UACGUAGGUCACAAGCGUUAUUCGGAAUUAUUGGGUGUAAAGGGAGCGCAGGCGGUUUAUCAAGUUUGUGGUUAAAGUUCGGGGCUUAACCCCGUGAUGCCACAGAAACUGGUAGACUAGAGUGCAGGAGAGGUGAGUGGAAUUCCAUGUGUAGCGGUAAAAUGCGUAGAUAUAUGGAGGAACACCAGUGGCGAAGGCGGCUCACUGGUCUGUUACUGACGCUGAGGCUCGAAAGCGUGGGGAGCAAAUAGG